rnacentral:piRNA from 6 species
UGUAAUGGUUAGCACUCUGGACUCU